AUUGAACGCUGGCGGCAGGCUUAACACAUGCAAGUCGAGCGGAGAUGAGGUGCUUGCACCUUAUCUUAGCGGCGGACGGGUGAGUAAUGCUUAGGAAUCUGCCUAUUAGUGGGGGACAACAUUCCGAAAGGAAUGCUAAUACCGCAUACGCCCUACGGGGGAAAGCAGGGGAUCUUCGGACCUUGCGCUAAUAGAUGAGCCUAAGGCGGAUUAGCUAGUUGGUGGGGUAAAGGCCUACCAAGGCGACGAUCUGUAGCGGGUCUGAGAGGAUGAUCCGCCACACUGGGACUGAGACACGGCCCAGACUCCUACGGGAGGCAGCAGUGGGGAAUAUUGGACAAUGGGCGGAAGCCUGAUCCAGCCAUGCCGCGUGUGUGAAGAAGGCCUUUUGGUUGUAAAGCACUUUAAGCGAGGAGGAGGCUACCUGGAUUAAUACUCUAGGAUAGUGGACGUUACUCGCAGAAUAAGCACCGGCUAACUCUGUGCCAGCCGCCGCUGUAAAAC
rnacentral:rRNA from 1 species